AGGGCGCUAGUGAGCCCAGAGAGUGUGACACCGCGGCUAAAGAAUAACAGAGUUAGCAAGUCAAGACCAAUUUUUCUUCAAUAUUGUUUAGUAUGAUUUUCUCAAUGGAGGAAUAUAUAUCUAAACUCAGGAAUUUGUGGAGACAUGUCACUUGUCUCUUCAGUAAAACAGACUUUUAGAACCGAAGAAAUUCAAAUAAAACUUCUACAAAUGUGUAUUUUCCAGAAGGAGCAGCACAUAGACUUCAUUUACAAGUGGAGUCACUGCAGACAGAGAUUAGCUCAAGGAACUGGUGAGGGUGUGCAAGAUUUCUGGCAGGGACUUGUGACGUACCUGCAACCCAUCUAUACUCUCACUGACUGUCUUUUUUGCCAGCCUUUAUCUACCAGCUAACCACAGGGGUGUCCAAAUCCAGGCCUUAAGGGCCGGUGUCCUACGAGUUUUCCAACCAACCUGCCAUUGAAGUUCCUUAUUGGCCAAACACACCUGGUAACCAACAACAGAUAAGGAAGGAUUUCUGGAGAACUAGCAGGAGGCCGGCCCUUGAGGCCUGGAUUUGGACACCCCUGCGUUUGUGGUGUUGAGCCCACAUAUGUUUUAAGACCUAUUUUAGCCUUAACUUGUUUAUUCAUCUUUUUUUUUCCUUUUUAUCUCCUUGACCUAUACUCCUGGAUAACCUUCAGCUUCUGGACAACACCAGUACCAUGUACACCCCAUAUUUUAUUUAACACAGGAUAUUUUGCAAUGUAUCUGUUAAUUAUUUGUGACUCUCUCUAAGUUGGUAAGAUGCUGUAGAUAUCUCAUGCUCUUGUACUUAAGACUUGUUUUUUGAACAUUUGAAUGGGUUUUGAUAGAGCAUCGUUAUUCUGAUCAUUGUCGGAACAACUACUACUACCACUACUACUACUACUCUUGUGGGUUUAAUCUCAAGCAUACAU